UGAGCAAUCUGCCCUUCUCAUCGGAAUAAGCGUUGGAAACGACGUCUAAUGCCGAAUACGACCUCCUUUCGCAUGAUCGGAGGUGGAAAGCUCCGGCGAAGAAGGAUGAGCUCGCGGCCUAUCAGCUAGUUGGUGUGGGUAAUGGCCCACCAAGGCGACGACGGGUAGCCGGCCUGAGAGGGUGACCGGCCACACUGGGACUGAGACACGGCCCAGACUCCUACGGGAGCAG
rnacentral:rRNA from 1 species